UGAGACACGCGCGCGCGUCUCAUUUGUUGGGCACAUGAAAGGGAAAGGAGUAAUCCUAAUUCACACCACCUGCCUCUCAGACCAAAUGUACACCUCAAAGUGCAUCAGCUUCUUCCUAGCAGCUGCCAGACCUGAAAGUUAAGCCCAAUUCAACUUCAAAGUCAGUAGCCCUGUAAAAUUGCUUACAGCAAACUCAAAAACGCCAAUCCUUCAAAGAAAGGGCCAUUCAUUCAAGAUUCAACUUGGUUGGAGCUUUGUUGAAACGGAAACAAACACAAAAAACUGUCAAACAAUUUCUCUACCAACAAUUUCAGUUUUGACACAAAAAUCAGUUUUGAAGGGGGAGGCAUAACCUGCCAAGAAGACGUCGCGGCCCCCGUAGCUUGCUGUCAUCGGGCUCGUCGGCUACGUCUCUGCCGGUAGUGGCCCGAAUGGAUUUGGGGGAGCCUGCACAGGCACUUUUCAUGGAGCUGAGAUACAAUAGAGAUUGAGAUUUGGGGACUAUUCAUUAUAGGGAUUAGAGAUUGGACGGUGAUCUUCUGGAAGUAUGUGGCAUGAGAGAGAUGAUGCUAGAUUCAAUAGAGCUCAUAUCCAUUGCCAAAUGAAGAAGUUCUUUUAAAAGGAUAUUCUUCAGCAUGAGCAUAUCGCUUCCGAUUAGCUUGCAGCGACCUGCUGGGCUAAGAUUCUCGCUGGAUCCACUGAAUAUCUUGUGGCAAGGAGGGCACGCGGUGGCGCGGCUGGAUGGAGACGCCGGCACAGUUGAGCUGCCGCGAAGUGAACCAAGGAGCCGUCGACCUGCGUGGAGCAGCGCGGCGCAACAAACACAAAGGAGCGGAAGACGGAUUCAUUAGUGCCGCAAGUAGCAGCGCAGGAAAACAUGGUGUUCAUAAGGAAGUUGUGAAGACAUGCAAGGACGGAAAGAUCUAAACAGACCUCAAGAUUUCAGUUAUAUAUUACCCAAAAUUGAUGAUGUUUCUGUCGAUUUCUUCUUCCGUCGUUCUAUGUGUUGGGCGUCCUGCCGUAUGUCGCCCCUUAGAUUCGUGUGGCAUAUGUCGCCCCUUCGAUUCGUUCCUGGCGUGUGUUGAUAUGUCGUUGUAUGGAUCUCCCUUCUAUCCUCGUACGCGUGCUGUUGGUUGCUCUGGCGUCUGUUAAUUCCGUGGGUGUUCUGGGGUGUGUGUCCCAACCUUUAUAUUAGUCCAAAUGUUGUUCAGUUUGAAUUGGACACGGAUGGGUGUCCGCUGGAAACUAUUCUAUGUGCAAUAGUAUACGUCCAUUCGUUGCCUAA